rnacentral:rRNA from 1 species
UACGGGGGAGCAAGCGUUGUUCGGAAUUACUGGGCGUAAAGGGCUCGUAGGCGGCCAACUAAGUCGGACGUGAAAUCCCCCGGCUCAACCGGGGAACUGCGUCCGAUACUGGUGGGCUCGAAUCCGGGAGAGGGAUGUGGAAUUCCAGGUGUAGCGGUGAAAUGCGUAGAUAUCUGGAGGAACACCGGUGGCGAAGGCGGCAUCCUGGACCGGUAUUGACGCUGAGGCGCGAAAGCCAGGGGAGCAAACGGG